GAGAAACCCCAUCUCUACUAAAAAUACUAAAAUUAGCCGGGUGUGGUGGGCGCCUGUAAUCCCAGCUACUCGGGAGGCUGAGGCAGGAGAAUCGCUUGAACCCGAAAGGUGGAGGUUGCGGUGAGCCGAGAUUGCACCAUUGCACUCCAGCCUGGACAACAAAAGCGAAACUCCAUCUCAAAAAAUAAUAAUAAUAAUAAUAAUAAUAAUAAAGUUCUGGUGGACAUUGCUGCUCUGGGCUUUCCUGAAAAUGCCCCAAUGGGAGCUUCCCGGCCACAGUUGGUGUCGAGGGUCACAUGCCCACCUCUGGGGGCCCAGGAAAAGAGAAGAGUCAGCUGAUCCAACAGAAACAAAGAAACUCAGACACUUGCCGAGCUUGUGCACAGCGCUCUUCUGUGUAGGCGUCACUCACAGUGACCCCUCGGCAUGACCAGGUGAAGCCUGGGUGGGGUUUGGGUUCCUGAUCAGUCAGAAAGACCCCUAGAGCCCAUUCCUCUCGGCAGUCUGCCAGACCCAUGGCAGGGUCAAGCUUGUGCCCCUCCCUCCCCCGCCCCCGCAGAAACGUCUACAAGGACCUGCGGCAGAUCGAGCUGGCCUGUGACUCCCAGGAGGACGUGGACAGCUGGAAGGCCUCGUUCCUCCGAGCCGGCGUCUACCCCGAGAAGGACCAGGCAGAAAACGAGGAUGGGGCCCAGGAGAACACCUUCUCCAUGGACCCCCAACUGGAGCGGCAGGUGGAGACCAUUCGCAACCUGGUGGACUCAUAUGUGGCCAUCAUCAACAAGUCCAUCCGCGACCUCAUGCCAAAGACCAUCAUGCACCUCAUGAUCAACAAUACGAAGGCCUUCAUCCACCACGAGCUGCUGGCUUACCUAUACUCCUCGGCGGACCAGAGCAGCCUCAUGGAGGAGUCGGCCGACCAGGCACAGCGGCGGGAUGACAUGCUGCGCAUGUACCAUGCCCUCAAGGAGGCGCUCAACAUCAUCGGCGACAUCAGCACCAGCACUGUGUCCACGCCUGUACCCCCGCCUGUCGAUGACACCUGGCUCCAGAGCGCCAGCAGCCACAGCCCCACUCCACAGCGCCGACCGGUGUCCAGCAUACACCCCCCUGGCCGGCCCCCAGCGGUGAGGGGCCCUACUCCAGGGCCCCCCCUGAUUCCUGUGCCCGUGGGGGCAGCAGCCUCCUUCUCGGCGCCCCCAAUCCCAUCCCGGCCUGGACCCCAGAGCGUGUUUGCCAACAGUGACCUCUUCCCAGCCCCGCCUCAGAUCCCAUCUCGGCCAGUUCGGAUCCCCCCAGGGAUUCCCCCAGGAGUGCCCAGGCGACCACCUCCAUCGGCUCCCGCACGACCUUUCUUCUGAGCUUCGUGGGAGGCCCCUCCCACCUGUCUGGCUGCCCCCUCACGGGCUGGUCUGUCCUGGCUGGUGUCCCUGAGCCCCAAUCAGCAGGCUCUUGUGAUUUUCUGACCAUAAUUUAUUGACUCCAGUGCCCAGGCCACACCACUCUUUGUUCCAGGAGGCUUCUGCCUAGACUUUGGCCGGGCCAUCCCUCAUGCCUGUGUGGGGCCCCUGCAGGAGAGGGGCCAGGGCAGGUGGUCUUCCAGGCCCCCUUCCUGGCAUUCUGUUACCAGACCUCAACCUGGCUUGGAGGGCCCAGGUUUCCUUGUUAGGCCCUGCCCCGCACCAGGCAACGCUAACACAGGAUGGGAGGCUUAGGCUAAGGCACAUUUACAGUAGAGGGGCCAGAAAAUCCGAGGCUCACGUUCCAACGCUGCAGUGCCCACCAUGUGAGAUUUCCAGGACCGUCGGUGCAGCCGCUGAGCCGUCCCUUCUACAAGCCAGAGGUGUUCCCUGCCCGCUGAGGACGGAAGAAGAUUCAUGGGGCCAGACUGCAGGCCCCGACUGCACACUCCCGUUUUGGCAGGAAACUAAAAUUGGGGAGGGACCCCCAAGUCUCAUAUGCACACACCCUGCUGCCCCUCCUUCGUCCCGUUCUUCCUUCCAUGGCAGGGGCUACGUGGGCACCGGGCGCUUGUCCUGGAAGAAGCGCUUGAGCGUGCAGACCUGCAGCACAGCCACCAGCAGCAGCACUGCCACGUUGACAGCUGACCAGAAGUUGACCCGCUCCAAGUUGCCCUCUUGCAGGUUGCGGUCACGUGCCUCGAAGGCCCGCAGUAGCGUGAGCAUCUGGAUGCUGCGCUCCAGCCGGGUCCGCAUGGUCUCAAUGGACUCCUGCAGGGCAGAGGGACGGGAAGGGUCAGGCCUCCCUCCACCCAUCGGGGAGCAGAGACCAAAAAAACCGGGGGAUAUGGAAGGAGGCUGUAUUAACCCAGGGAGGUACAGCUGCAAACACAGACUUGUUCAGGCUAAGUUCAAAUCCUCACCCUGCCACUCACUGGCUGUGUGACCGUGAGCAACUUAAUUAACCUAUCUGAGCCUGUUUCCUCUUCUAUAAGCUUCCAAAUUGCUGUGAAAAUUUAAUGCCUAAAUAAAUGUACAAGGACG
rnacentral:sRNA from 1 species